rnacentral:rRNA from 1 species
AAAGCCCACUCCCCUAGGCUAGUCUUCCUUUCUGAAACAAGGCAAUCAUGUGCAAAAAUUGAGCGGCUAAAGUGGAAGAUUGGCCUGAAAGGAUUUUGUGGUGUAGACGCUGAAGGUCUUGGAGGUGGUUUAGCUCUGUUUUGGGAUGAAUCCCUCCGAGUGUCGGUU